rnacentral:tmRNA from 1 species
GGGGGCGUUUCAGACUCGCUCGGGGAAGCGGUGGCAAAAGUUGCGCGUCGAGAUUCCACCUGGUCUCGUUAAACGGUGGACCUUUUUAAUUGCCAACGAAAAUUACGCUUUAGCUGCUUAAUUGCCGCUAACAUCCUGCCUCACGGCCUGCGGUGAGGGGCCAGGGUGUCAAAUAGCAGGACUGCUCUAAUGUCAAUGCUCGGAGACAUUAGCUAAGAUUAUCGAGCAAAACCUCUACUGAAUCCCGCCUUCAGGAGUCAAAGAGGUUAAAUAAAUUGGAGGCUACACGCGUAGACGCUUUUGUGGCAGCUCUUCGAUACAGGGGUGCAAGUCCCCUCGCCUCCACCA